UUGACGGUACCCUACUAGAAAGGAGCCGCUAACUUCGUGCCAGAAGCGUCGGUAAUACGGGGGCUCCAAGCGUUAUCCGGUGUUAUUGGGCGUAAAGAGUCGUGUAGGUGGUUGGGUAAGUUAUCUUUCAAAUAUCUUUGCUUAACAAAGAGGAGGGGGAUAAUACUGCUCGACUAGAAUUUUCUCAAGGGAGAUCGGAACUGAGGGAGGAGUAGUGAAAUGCGUUGAUACCCUCGGGAACACCAGUGGCGCAGGCGGAUCUCUGGGAGAAGAUUGACACUGAGACACGAAAGCUAGGGGAGCGAAGCAGAUUAGAGACCUGCGUAGUCCUAGCCGUAAACGCAUGCUUGCUAGCUGCAUGAAUCUACCUUCGGGUGGUAUCGUGUGGCGAAGGUAACCCGUUAAGCAAGCCGCCUGGAAAGUACGGCCGCAAGGCUGAAAUUCAAAGGAAUUGGCGGGGAGGCACACAACCAGUGGAACAUGUGGUUUAAUUCGAGACUAACCGAAGAACCUCACCAGGGUUUGACAUGUAGCUGCACGUCUUAAGAAAUUAAGACUCUCUUGAAGGUGCUACACAGGUGCUGCAUGGCUGUCGUCAGCUCGUUCCGUGAGGAGUGCCCUUAAGUGGGACAACGAGCGCAACUCCUAUUACAUGUUAGAAAUGUCAUGUAAGACUGCCUUGCCAUUUGGCGGGGAGGAAGGAGGGGCAGACGUCAAGUCCGCAUGGUCCUUAUGCCCUGGGCUACACACAUGUUACAAUGAGUACGGCAAUGAGUCUGUCGCGAGCACGUAAGUGUAAGCUAAUCUCUUAAAUGUACUCUCAGUGGGGAUUGAGGUCUGCAACUCGACCUCAUGAACACGGAAUUGGUAGUAAUCGCGGGUCAGCUAUACCGCGGUGAUACGUUCUUGCCUCUUGCACACACCGCCCGUCAAACCAGCAAAGU
rnacentral:rRNA from 1 species